CUUACCACAGGAUGCUUGUGGACCAGAGUACCUGCUGUUAUAAACAUAGACCAAAAGUGAAUGACUGGGAAAAGAUAUAUGAUGAAAAUAAAACAAAACAAAACAAAACAAAACAAAAAUGAGUGGGAAUAGCUAUACUCAUAUCAGAAUAAGCAGAUUUUUGGCCGGUGUCAGGGCUCAAUAGGCUAAUCCUCUGCCUGCGGCACCGGCACUCUGGGUUCUAGUCCUGGUCGGGGCGCCGGAUUCUGUCUCCGUUGCUCCACUUCCAGUUGAGCUCUCUGCUGUGGCCUGGGAGUGCAAUGGAGGAUGGCCCAAGUGCUUGGGCCCUGCACCCGCAUGGGAGAGCAUGCAGCCAUUGGAGGGUGAACCAACGGUAAAGAAAGACCUUUCUCUCUGUCUCUCUCUCUCUCUCACCUAUCGAAGUGGACCUUGGUAAAAAGUGCUGGUAUCACUCUAUUUUUGCCUGUCCCAUUCUUCGUCAGCAAACAACAGAUAACAAUCCACCCAUGAAACUGGUCUGUGGUCACAUUAUAUCAAGAGAUGCCCUGAAUAAAAUGUUUAACGGUAGCAAGUUAAAAUGUCCAUAUUGUCCAAUGGAGCAAAGCCCGGGAGAUGCCAAACAGAUAUUUUUCUGAAGAAAUAAUUUUAAUUUGCAAUUUCUCUCACCACGAAGUCCUCACACCUGCAUUUGAGCUCUGCUUGCAGCCCCGCAGGCUGCCUGUUUACAAUUCCAUCAUGGAUUGGGCAGGCUGGUGUGAGAAGUCUUCCACUAGGACACAGUGGAAGGAGUAUUACUGGGUUGGGUGUUUUGUUUGUUUUUUUUUUUCUUUUCUUUUUUUUUUUUUUUUUUGCUUUUAUUGCCAAGAGGUGCUUGUUUUAAAAGUGUGUUCAAUAAAAUGAAAUUCUCGAGUUAAAAAAAAAAAAACCUGUCAAAAAAAAUAAUAAGCAGAUUUUAAAUGGAAAGCUAUAAAAGUAAACAAAAGUGAACACUAUACAUGGAUAAAAAUAAUUCCAAUUAGAAGAUAUAACAAUAACAAAUACACAUGCAUCAAACACAAGACUACUCAGAUAUAUGCAGCAAAUAUUAGGAGACACAAAGGGAGAGAUAGAUUCUAAUACAACAAUAGUGGGGGGCCUCAAAACUCCAUUCUCAUCAAUGGAUGGAUUAUCCACACAGAAAAUCAACAAAAGUACAUCAGGGUUAAACUAUAGUAUUUAGUAAAUCAAUCUAAGAGAUGUUUACAGAACCAUUCAUUCAACAGCUAGAGAAUAUAUAUCCUUAUCAUCAACACAGGGAAUAUUUCCUAGGAUAGACCACAUACUAGACUAGAAAUGAAAUCUCAUUUAAUUUAAAGAAAUAUAAAUCAUACCAUGUAUUGAGAGGGAAAUUUUGUGUCCAGUUUAUUUCACUCAACAUGGGGUACCCCAGUGGCAACCAUUUUGAUGCAAUGAUAGAAUUUCAUUCUUAUAGCUGAAUAAUAUUACAUUGUGUGUAUGUGUAUAUAUAUACAUUAUACAUAUGUAUAUGAUAUUAGAAAUAUUAGAAAGGGAAAUUAGGAAGGAGAAAGAAUGAAAUGCAUCAAAAUUGGAAACAAGGAAGUUAAAAUUGCCAUGUUUUCAAAACAUGAGAUGAUGUUACACAUGGAAAACCAUAACACAUUCCUAAUAAGUUGCUAGAAAUGAUAAAAAAAAUCCAGUAAAAUUGCAAAAUCAACAUACAAAAAAUCAAUAGAACUUUUUCUUUAAAAAAAGAUUUAUUUAUUGAUUUGAAAGGUAGAGUUACACACAACAGUGAGAAGGAGAGAUAAAAAUCUUUGAUCUGUGGGUUCACUCCCCAAAUGGCAGCAUCCCAUGAGAGAGCAAUGUCAAUGAUCAGUUAUAUAUAUAUAUAUAUAUAUUU
ensembl:lncRNA